AGGACGAACGCUGGCGGCGUGCUUAACACAUGCAAGUCGAGCGAUGAAGCUUUCUUCGGAAAGUGGAUUAGCGGCGGACGGGUGAGUAACACGUGGGUAACCUGCCUCAUAGAGGGGAAUAGCCUUUCGAAAGGAAGAUUAAUACCGCAUAAGAUUGUAAUACCGCAUGGUAUAGCAAUUAAAGGAGUAAUCCGCUAUGAGAUGGACCCGCGUCGCAUUAGCUAGUUGGUGAGGUAACGGCUCACCAAGGCGACGAUGCGUAGCCGACCUGAGAGGGUGAUCGGCCACAUUGGGACUGAGACACGGCCCAGACUCCUACGGGAGGCAGCAGUGGGGAAUAUUGCACAAUGGAGGAAACUCUGAUGCAGCCAUGCCGCGUGUGUGAAGAAGGCCUUCGGGUUGUAAAGCACUUUCGGAGGGGAGGAAAAGAUGACGUUACCCUCAGAAGAAGCACCGGCUAACUCCGUG
rnacentral:rRNA from 1 species